GCAUCCGAAUAGAUUUGGCGCCCGGGUCCUCUCCGAAAACAUCGCUAAGAUAACACUACGUUUGCACCCUGUUGAUUGUUUAGAAAACUGAAAAGUCAUUCUCUGUUUUCAUGCCACGCUGGGCUUAAACAAUGGUGCUCCUGAAUGAAAGAUUAUUAGCCAAGCCACAAGUAACAUUAAAUACUGUACCUGCUACGAACCAUGAGGAGCUGAAGUUGACUCUGACAGUAUCAUGCGUAAAGGAAAGAACCCACCCUUGAAACUCCAAGAAGCAAUUGACAUAACUUACCGGUCUUUGAUGGAGAAAAUCAGAGCAAAAACAAAGCAGGCAGGAGAGAAGACCAUGCAAACUCCACAGUGAUGGUGACAAACCCAUUCUUCUGCAAUCACUAUGCCACUCCUUUAGCUCAUUUUCGGAGCAUUAAUAAGGAAUAAUGGAGCUAAUAGCUACCAGUAUUUCCAGACACACAACAGUAACAGGCUACUGCUUCACCACCUGAGGCCACAGGUCCGCCACGCCC